rnacentral:rRNA from 1 species
GGGUCAGGAGGUUGGUCGUGCCACCGGUACGUACUGGUCUCACUGAUUCCUCCUUCCUGAAGAACCGUAAUGCCAUUAAUUUGGUGUUGCGGGGAAACAGGACUGUUACUUUGAAAAAACUAGAGUGUUUAAAGCAAGCUAACGCUUGAAUACAUUAGCAUGGAAUAAUGAAAUAGGACGAUCGAUCCUAUUUUGUUGGUUUCUAGGAUUGACGUA